rnacentral:misc_RNA from 1 species
AACGCACAUUGCGCCCGCCAGUAUUCUGGCGGGCAUGCCUGUUCGAGCGUCAUUUCAACCACUCAGGCCCUGGUGCCUGGCGUCGGGGUAUUUCUGUAACAAGAAAUCCCAUAGAAUCAGUGGCGGACCCGCCGCGGCUCCGAGCGUAGUAGUAAAAUAUCUCGCUAUGGAGGCCCGUGGAGGGAUUACCGGCCGUAAAACCUCUUCUUCACGGAAGAACUUCUCAAGGUUGACCUCGGAUCAGGUAGGAAUACCCGCUGAACUUAA